rnacentral:rRNA from 1 species
CAGUCGCCGCGGUAAUACGUAGGGUGCAAGCGUUAAUCGGAAUUACUGGGCGUAAAGCGUGCGCAGGCGGUUUGUUAAGACAGAUGUGAAAUCCCCGGGCUCAACCUGGGAACUGCAUUUGUGGCUGGCAAGCUAGAGUCUGGCAGAGGGGGGUGGAAUUCCGCGUGUAGCAGUGAAAUGCGUAGAUAUGCGGAGGAACACCGAUAGCGAAGGCAGCCCCCUGGGCCAACACUGACGCUCAUGCACGAAAGCGUGGGGAGCAAACAGGAUUAGAUACCCCCGUAGUCCCUGUCUCUUAUAC